AGGACAGGGCAGACCUAGGUUCAGGAGCUGACUGUCACUUUGAGCUGGAGCAAGUCAUCCUGCCUCACUGAGCCUCAAUUUUAUCAGUAAAAUGGCAAUGAUGGCAGCCAGCCUCACAGGUUAGCAACUUAGCUGGAACCAGCCAAGAAUCGUUUAAUCCAUUGGAUGGGUGUGAUUCCCCAAAAGGCCACCUGAGGGCACCCUGUGAAAGGCUUCAAGUGUGCUUGGGCGAUCUGUCGGAGGCAGUCUUGAGAAAGAAAGCAGAUGGGCAGGAGUAAGAAAAUGCUUGCCUGUUUCUCCCCUCCCUCUGUCAGUUAAGCCUGGGGGGCACCCGUCCCUGGCCCCUGCCUUGUUUCAAGUACCAUCCUCCAGCUGGCCUACCUGCCUUUCCUUCCCCAGCCCUCAGCUGUGGGAAAAUUACCAUCUUUCUCAUGGGGCUGGGCUCUGGGUCCAGAGCCUGUCGGAAUGCACAAAGCCAAGCCCAUGUCUUAAGUAAAUGCCAAAAAGUCCUAGCAGAGUGUGUUCUGCACCCACCAGGGAGCCUGUCUGCCCACCUACUGCAAGGAAGAGAAGGAGGGCUCCUUUCCAGCAGAAGCCUGGGGAGAGGGAGGAUGCUCCUGCCCGAGGACAUGGGCUGUGGCCCGUUGACAAGGCCUAGAACACCUGGAACUGACUGGGAGACUAUUCACUCUCAGCAAGCAUUCCCUGAGCAUCUGUGACCCCCGAGGCACUGGGACACACACAAGACACAAAAGAGGCCCACCCAUGAAGGAGCUUACAGCCUAAUCACAAACCAGGGAGGUGUCACAUGGGCUAAACAAAAAUGACAAAUCCUGAGAUUCUAAGGUCAAAAGACAAUCCAGGUAUCAUACUAAAAAGAUACCAAAGAGGAUGGAGUCAGUAGAACCAUCUGCAACCAGUGCAGCCACCCAGGGCUGGGACAGUUGUUCGGGAAGCCAGAAGCCAAGAAGUUAGCCUUCUCUUUGCUUUGGUGUCUUAGUUCCCUUGUGCUGCUAUAUACCAUACCACAGACUGAGUGAUUUAUAAGCAACAGAAAUGUAUUUCCCACAUUUCUGGAGGCUUAGAAGUCCAAGCUCAAGGCACCAUCAAGCUUGGUGUCUGGUGAGGGCCCAGUCUCCACUUCCAAGACAUUGCCUUGUUGCUGCUCCAUCGUGAAGGCUGUGUCUUCACACCGUGGAUGGGAUGAACUGGCCCCUCACGCCUUUCCAUAACAUCACUAAUCCCAUCGUGAGGGCUCUGCCCUCAUGACUUAGUCAUUCCCU
rnacentral:lncRNA from 1 species